CGCUGGCGGCGUGCCUAACACAUAGCAAGUCGAGCGAUCUCUUCGGAAGAGAGCGGCGGACGGGUGAGUAACGACGUGGGUAACCUGCCCUGUACACACGGAUAACAUACCGAAAGGUAUGCUAAUACGGGAUAACAUACUUUUAUCGCAUGGUAGAAGUAUCAAAGCUCCGGCGGUACAGGAUGGACCCGCGUCUGAUUAGCUAGUUGGUAAGGUAACGGCUUACCAAGGCGACGAUCAGUAGCCGACCUGAGAGGGUGAUCGGCCACAUUGGAACUGAGACACGGUCCAAACUCCUACGGGAGGCAGCAGUGGGGAAUAUUGCACAAUGGGCGAAAGCCUGAUGCAAGCAACGCCGCGUGAGCGAUGAAGGCCUUCGGGUCGUAAAGCUCUGUCCUCAAGGAAGAUAAUGACGGUACUUGAGGAGGAAGCCCCGGCUAACUACGUGCCAGCCGCUGC
rnacentral:rRNA from 1 species